rnacentral:lncRNA from 1 species
UAGUGAUAAGAGGCAGCUAAUCACGACGGAGGUAAACCUCAGCUCUCUGACUGCCAACUUAGGGCACCUCGUUGUAUGAGUUCCACGGACUGCUCCUUCCAUGGUUAAUCGUAAUCACCACUUGCGCAAAAGAAAAACAACAAAACACUGGACUUCGGAAGAGAACCUGGGGCUGGCCGUGUCGUUUAGGGGUAUGCUAGUUGGCAUGGGGACUAUCAUUGAAACCACUGGGUAAGUACUAAAGGGCUAUAUGACACAGAGAAAUGAGGACAAAGCUAAGACUGACCCCUAAGAAAUGCCUGUGUUUGAAGAUCAGGUGUAUGAGACAGAGCCCACAAAGAAUAUAUAAAAGGAAUAAACAGUGAAGAAGAAAAAAAAAUAAAGUCA